AUCUGGCUGAUUGGCUGGGGCCAUUUGGUUUUUGCCUACUGCGUAGCAAAUCGUCACAACUUGUAAGGUUCGCAGUUAGGCAUUGGUUUAUGGUUUGGUUGGUUGAGGGGCAUGGAUUGGCUGUGCCUGCCCCUCAAAUGCUGCUGCUGCAAGGGAUUCUGUUAAAGGAAUCGGGGGCUAACUAUUGCUUGUCCACUCUGUCAAGG